rnacentral:lncRNA from 1 species
AGGGCUUUCAUUUCAUAUCACAUAUUUAUAUAUGAAUCAUAACAGAAUGUGAAAAAAAUCUAAAAAAGUGUGAUAAUUUAAGAAAAUGUGUAAUUUUUCAAGUUCUGCGUGACAUUUUACCUGUGGAUGUCAUAAUACUGUUAGAUUGUACUGCAAUAAAAUACACAUAUUUGUAUUCAGCAAUGUCUCCGAGUAGCACAGUACCCCCCAUGUACAGGUUUUAUGAGUUUUUGGAAACUUACAGGGGUCAAAUAUGGGGCUUUCCCCCUUUCCAUUUAAAUUUGCCAGAUUGGUUUGCUGGGUUUAUGUUGCCUUCGAGACAGUAUGGUCAGUGGCGUACUAAGGGGGGGGCGGGGGGGGCGGUCCGCCCCGGGUGCCAGCCGGGUGGGGGGUGCCAUGGCCAGCCCCGCCGCCCCCCCCCUAUGCUGCAGCCGCCCGAGCGCUCUGCAGAGAGCCUCAGGCGGCUGCAGCCUUGCCCGGGCGGUGCAUCCAUGAGGGCGGACCGCACCGCCCGGGCGCAGCCUGAGGAGAGGCUGACAGGAGGGAACGCUCCUGUCAGCUCCCUCACUGCAGCAUGCUAGUCCGACGGGUACAGAAAGCAGCUGUCUCCUGUACCCGGCCGGACUAACAGGAAGUGCACACUCAGUGAGUGUGCACUUCCUGUUAGUCCGACCGGGUACAGGAAACAAAAGCUCCCUGUACCCGCGGACUAUACAGGGCUCGGCCACGCUACAGGGAGGUAGGGGGGAGGGGGAGAAAUAAGGGGGGGGUGAAAAGAAAUAAGAGAGUGAGAAGAGUGAAAAAAAAGAAAUAGAAGUGAAAAGAGAUAAGGAGGAGUGAAAGGAAUAAGAAGGGUUGAGAAAAAGAGAAAUAAGAGGUUGAGAGAAAAAGAGGUAGAAAAGAAAGAAAUAAGAGGUGAAAGAAAAUAAGAGGUAAGAAAAAGAAAUAAGAGGUGAGAAAAGAAGAAAAAUUGAGAAAAAGAAAUAAAGAAGUGUAGAGAGAGAUAAAGGGGGUGUAGAGAGAGAGAAAUAAGGGGGUGAAAGAGAUAAGGGGGUGAGAGAGAGAAAAUAGAGGGAAUUGGGUGAGAAAAGAAAAAAGAAAGGUGGGUGAGAAGAAAAGGAGGGGGGAAAGAGAAAUUAGGAGGGGGGAAAGAGAAAUUAGGAGGGGGGGUGAGAAAGAAAUUGGGAGGAGGAGAAGGAAAUUGGAGCGGGAGGAGAGAUUGACAUUCAUCACAUACACACACAAUACACCUGCACACAAAACACAGGCACCACUUUUGUAAAUACAACACAUUUACACAAUGCAUCCCUUACACACACAAAAACACACAAUGCAUUCAUUACACACACUCAAUGCACCCCUUACACACACUCAAUGCAUCCCGUACAUACACAGAAACACACCUUGCAGCCCUUACACAUACAAAACACAGAUUCACACAAUGCAUUCCUUACACACAUAUCAGGACAUCCCCUACACACUCCACCCCCUGUGAACAAACUCAUUGGUGGAACAUGAAGGUGGACCCUGGGACCCAAACCUUGAGCUGUGUAAAGGACCCCCAAAAAAUGGAGCUGCUUCCCGUUCUCCCAGAACAUUGAUUUUUGUGACACAGUUACAAACCGCCUCCAGAGAGCCUGUUCUGCACCAGACCAGUGGAGCCAGACUGCAGCUAGAGCCCAUCAUCAUCCUCAUCUGGUUGUAAGUAGGCAAUCUGGUAUAUUAUUCGUGGCACUAAGCUCUAAUUUACCUCACAUUAAAGAAACACUAUAGUCCCCAGAACCACUUCAGCUUAAUGUAGUGGUUCUGGUGUCUAUAGCCUGUCCCUGCAGGCCUUUUAAUGUAAACACGGCGGCAUUGCAGCACUGGCGUUAGUUAACAUGGCAAAUCAUAUGGCUGGGACAUUGUGAUGUCACAUGGGGGACGGCAAACUUUACUUUUGCCUUUGGCGGCAAAAAUCCUUGUACCGGCCCUGGCUGGAGGGGGCUGUGUGAGCUGUGGCCGCACAGUGUCCCAUGGUAGUUAGGGUGCCGUGCGGCCAGUACAGCUCACUCAAGCAAACAGCUAAUAAACUGGCCGCACGAAGGAAAUGUGUAUGUGUGACUGUCUGCCUGUGACUGUGUGUGACUGUCUGCCUGUAACUGAGUGUGUGACUGUCUGUCUGUAACUGAGUUUGUGACUGUGUCUGUAACUGAGUGUGUGACUGUCUGCCUGUAAAUGUGUGUGUGUGGGGCUGCAUGGAUUUUUUGUGUGAAGGGGUGGGGGUUUUGUAUUGGGACAGGAGUCUUUUAUAAGGGGAUAAGCAGAGUUUGUGGAAGGGGUUCUUGAGGGGUUUUGUAGAUGGGGCAGUACAGGAUUUGUAGAGAGGGGGCAGGACAGGGGUUUUGUAGGAGGGGCAGGGGCAGGACAGGGGUUUUUUGUAGGAGGGGCUGACAGGCGGUUUUGCAAAGUUUAAAAUUGUAAAAAUAAAGAAAUAAAACCUUUAACAUUUUUACAGGUUUUUUUUGGGAGGGUGAGUGGGGGGGUGCAACACAGGAUCCGCCCCGGGUGCCAAAUGCUCUAGGUACGCCCCUGAGUAUGGUAGCCCAGGAAUGAAAAUUAACCCCAUCUUGGCAUACCAUUUGUAAACUUAGACAACCCAAGGUAUUCAAAAUGGGGUAUGUUUAGUCUUUUUUUAAUAGCCACUUAGUCACA